AGCACCGUUAAUGGAUCGGGAGGAUCCGUAAUGACGUGUUUUUGGUGACGUGACUGUUUACCAUUCGAUCUACAGGAUCGGGUAUGGAACAAAUCAAAUCAAAUCAAAAACCAACCAACCAACAAACCUUAACACGUUCACUGCGGAACAGGCCCAAAUCAGCCUGCCGCGGAAUUUCACCUGGUGCGGACGAAGAAAACUAUGUCCCUCUCGCUGGUGCGGAACGAUUAUCUCAGGUGUUUGUAAAGGUACGACAAAGACAAAUAUAUAUUUGAGAUUGUGGUCAAAAGUAUAGGUGUUCCCUAUAAAAACAUCACGGCAGGCCUUUAUCGGCCUAUCACGCACUGACGGUAAAAAAUAUCAACUCGGUGCGGGAGGAGGCCUAUUGUGGCCCGCCGUCCCAACAGGCUGUUGGCGGCCCGAUACCGCACAGAGCGCCCGCCUCGCCAGUUAGUGUUGGGCAAGCUAUCGGAACUGACGUACGUCACGUUUUUUUUAUUCCUUAAAAUUAAAGGCACGAUGUCAGGCAACAAAAGAAAGAUAAAUAUUUUGGAAAAUAAAUUAAUUUGCGGCGCAGAUAGUGAUAGUGACAGCAGUCAGGAGAUAUUUUCCUUGAAAAUGAGAAGAAGGUUUCAAAGAAAGAAUUUACAGAAGCAUUAAUACAAUCAAUUACUGGAAAAAAGAUAUGCCCUGAUAGUAAGUAUAACGACGUGCAACAUAACUGUAACCAUCUUUAGACCUAUGUUGAAGGUGAUUCCUUCUGUUUCGUGUUGACGACGUUCUACCUCUGCAACAGGAAAUCAAGUAACACCUACGGCCGAUCAUAUCCUUGAGAUGAGCGGUAAACGGCGAAAUUGUGUAGGGUGCUAUGAAAAACUGCGGGAAACCAUGAAGAGUUCCGAGGUGAAAAGGAAAGUAAAAAAAAUUAAAACAUACUGCAGAAUGUGCAAGCAAAAUCUUUGUGCGAAAUGUUUUAAAGACAGCCAUUAAUAAAUAAUUAAAUAAACAAUUUUUAUUUCUUUACUUUAA